rnacentral:rRNA from 1 species
UAUGUCCUACGGGAGGCAGCAGUGAGGAAUAUUGGUCAAUGGCCGAGAGGCUGAACCAGCCAAGUCGCGUGAGGGAUGACGGCCCUACGGGUUGUAAACCUCUUUUGUCGGGGAGCAAGACCCACCUCGUGCAGGCGGAGCGAGAGUACCCGAAGAAAAAGCAUCGGCUAACUCCGUGCCAGCAGCCGCGGUAAUACGGAGGAUGCGAGCGUUAUCCGGAUUUAUUGGGUUUAAAGGGUGCGUAGGCGGACAGUCAAGCCAGCGGUAAAAAUGCGGUGCCCAACGCCGUACAGCCGUUGAAACUG